UACGUAGGGUGCGAGCGUUAAUCGGAAUUACUGGGCGUAAAGUGUGCGCAGGCGGCCGAGCAAGUCGAGUGUGAAAGCCCCGAGCUUAACUUGGGAACUGCGCUCGAAACUACUUGGCUAGAGUGUGGCAGAGGGAGGUGGAAUUCCACGUGUAGCGGUGAAAUGCGUAGAGAUCGGGAGGAACACCAGAGGCGAAGGCGGCGACCUGGAGAGGCACUGACACUCAACUGCGAAAGCGUGGGGAGCAAACAGG
rnacentral:rRNA from 1 species